rnacentral:rRNA from 1 species
CACGAACCGUACGAACGUUAUUCGGAAUCACUGGGCUUAAAGGGUGCGUAGGCGGCCCGAAAAGUUGGGUGUGAAAUCCCUCGGCUCAACCGAGGAAUUGCGCUCAAAACUGCCGGGCUAGAGGAAGUCAGAGGUGAGCGGAACUUAGGGUGGAGCGGUGAAAUGCGUUGAUAUCUUAAGGAACACCAGUGGCGAAAGCGGCUCACUGGGGCUUUUCUGACGCUGAGGCACGAAAGCUAGGGGAGCGAACGGG